AGUGUUUGAUCCUGGCUCAGGACGAACGCUGGCGGCGUGCCUAACACAUGCAAGUCGAGCGGGGACAUGAGGGAAUAAGCUUCGGCAGAAAGAAUCAUGUUCUAGCGGCGGACGGGUGAGUAACGCGUGAGCAAUCUGUCCCAGACAGGGGGAUAACACUUGGAAACAGGUGCUAAUACCGCAUAAGACCACGAGACGGCAUCGUCUUGUGGUAAAAGGGGCAACUCGGUUUGGGGUGAGCUCGCGUCCGAUUAGCUGGUUGGUGAGGUAACGGCCCACCAAGGCGACGAUCGGUAGCCGACCUGAGAGGGUGAUCGGCCACAUUGGAACUGAGACACGGUCCAAACUCC
rnacentral:rRNA from 1 species